rnacentral:rRNA from 1 species
AUUGAACGCUGGCGGAAUGCUUUACACAUGCAAGUCGAACGGCAGCACGGGGGCAACCCUGGUGGCGAGUGGCGAACGGGUGAGUAAUACAUCGGAACGUGCCCGGUCGUGGGGGAUAACGUAGCGAAAGUUACGCUAAUACCGCAUACGAUCUGAGGAUGAAAGCGGGGGACCUUCGGGCCUCGCGCGAUCGGAGCGGCGGAUGUCAGAUUAGGUAGUUGGUGGGGUAAAGGCCUACCAAGCCGACGAUCUGUAGCUGGUCUGAGAGGACGACCAGCCACACUGGGACUUAGACGCGGCCCAGACUCCUACGGGAGGCCGCAGUGGGGAAUUUUGGACAAUGGGCGCGAGCCUGAUCCAGCCAUUCCGCGUGCAGGACGAAGGCCUUCGGGUUGUAAACUGCUUUUGUAUGGAACGAAAAGGCUCUGGCUAAUACCUGGGGCUCAUGACGGUACCGUAAGAAUAAGCACCGGCUAACUACGUG